GACGAACGCUGGCGGCGUGCUUAACACAUGCAAGUCGAACGGAAAGGCCCCUUUGGGGGUGCUCGAGUGGCGAACGGGUGAGUAACACGUGAGUAACCUGCCCUUGACUUCGGGAUAACUUCAGGAAACUGGGGCUAAUACCGGAUAGGAAUCCUUGCUGCAUGGUGGGGGUUGGAAAGCUUCGGCGGUUUUGGAUGGACUCGCGGCUUAUCAGCUUGUUGGUGGGGUAGUGGCUUACCAAGGCUUUGACGGGUAGCCGGCCUGAGAGGGCGACCGGCCACAGUGGGACUGAGAUACGGCCCAGACUCCUACGGGAGGCAGCAGUGGGGAAUAUUGCACAAGGGGCGGAAGCCUGAUGCAGCAACGCCGCGUGCGGGAUGACGGCCUUCGGGUUGUAAACCGCUUUCAGCAGGGGCGAAGCUUGUGGUGACGGUACCUGCAGAAGAAGCACCGGCUAACUACGUG
rnacentral:rRNA from 1 species